rnacentral:rRNA from 1 species
CCUACGGGAGGCAGCAGUAGGGAAUCUUCCGCAAUGGACGAAAGUCUGACGGAGCAACGCCGCGUGAACGAUGAAGGCCUUCGGGUCGUAAAGUUCUGUUGUUAGGGAAGAACAAGUGCUAGUUGAAUAAGCUGGCACCUUGACGGUACCUAACCAGAAAGCCACGGCUAACUACGUGCCAGCAGCCGCGGUAAUACGUAGGUGGCAAGCGUUGUCCGGAAUUAUUGGGCGUAAAGCGCGCGCAGGCGGUUUCUUAAGUCUGAUGUGAAAGCCCCCGGCUCAACCGGGGAGGGUCAUUGGAAACUGGGAAACUUGAGUGCAGAAGAGGAAAGUGGAAUUCCAAGUGUAGCGGUGAAAUGCGUAGAGAUUUGGAGGAACACCAGUGGCGAAGGCGACUUUCUGGUCUGUAACUGACGCUGAGGCGCGAAAGCGUGGGGAGCAAACAGGAUUAGAUACCCUGGUAGUCCACGCUGUAAACCGAUGAGUGCUAAGUGUUAGAGGGUUUUCCGCCCUUUUAAGUGCUGAAGUUAACGCAUUAAGCACUCCGCCUGGGGAUACGGUCGCAAGACUGAAACUUAAAGAUUGACG